GGUGCCUUGGAGAAGUGGUUAACUCACUCCCUUUGGGCAUCCAUGCUAAAUUGGGAGAGGUCAGGGGUUCGAACCCCCUAGGCAUCA